AAGGAAAGCCGCCUGAGGAGGGGCUCGCGUCUGAUUAGCUAGUUGGUGGGGUAAGGGCCUACCAAGGCAACGAUCAGUAGCUGUUUUGAGAGGAUGAUCAGCCACACUGGGACUGAGACACGGCCCAGACUCCUACGGGAGGCAGCAGUGGGGAAUUUUUCCGCAAUGGGCGAAAGCCUGACGGAGCAAUCCCGCGUGAGGGAGGAAAGGCUCUUGGGUUGUAACCUCUUUUCUCAAGGAAUAAGUUUUGAAGGUACUUGAGGAAUAAGCAUCGGCUAACUCCGUGCCAGCAGCCGCGGUAAUACGGAGGAUGCAAGCGUUAUCCGGAAUGAUUGGGCGUAAAGAUCUCGUAGGUGCUUGUGAAAGUCUGCUGGAAUUAAAGAUCAAGGCUCAACCUUGUAAAGGCAGUGGAAACUACCCAGCUAGAGUGCGGUAGGGGCAGAUUGGGAAUUCCCGGUGUAGCGGUGAAAUGCGUAGAGAUCGGGAAGAAACACCAAGUGGCAGGAAAGCGCUCUGCUGGGCCGAAACUGACGUCUAUAUUACAGUAGCGCAUUUG
rnacentral:rRNA from 1 species